rnacentral:rRNA from 1 species
GAUGAACGCUGGCGGCGUGCCUAAUACAUGCAAGUCGAGCGAACAGAUGAGGAGCUUGCUCCUCUGACGUUAGCGGCGGACGGGUGAGUAACACGUGGAUAACCUACCUAUAAGACUGGGAUAACUUCGGGAAACCGGCGCUAAUACCGGAUAAUAUAUUGAACCGCAUGGUUCAAUAGUGAAAGACGGUUUUGCUGUCACUUCUCGAUGGAUCCGCGCCGCAUUAGCUAGUUGGUAAGGUAACGGCUUACCAAGGCAACUAUGCGUAGCCGACCUGAGAGGGUGAUCGGCCACACUGGAACUGAGACACGGUCCAGACUCCUACGGGAGGCAGCAGUAGGGAAUCUUCCGCAAUGGGCGAAAGCCUGACGGAGCAACGCCGCGUGAGUGAUGAAGGUCUUCGGAUCGUAAAACUCUGUUAUUAGGGAAGAACAAAUGUGUAAGUAACUAUGCACGUCUUGACGGUACCUAAUCAGAAAGCCACGGCUAACUACGUG